rnacentral:lncRNA from 1 species
GAGAGCGGAAGCCGAAACUAGGCGGCUUCACAGAUCUUGCACUGGGUCCCUGUGCCUGCCAGCCAUCGAUCCAGAAUCUAAGGAUGAUGCUCCGAGUCCUACCACGGCCUGUCAGAGUUCACAUAGCUAAACCCAAAGCGCCUGCCCCUGUGACAUCAUAAAUUCAACCCACUGCUGGAGGAAUCCACGGAUACAGGAACCAUAAAUGCAGAGACAAGCUGGGAUUGCGUGUGCAGUGGGAACAGCCUCAGAAUAGCUCAUCAGCUAACAGAGCGCUGCAUCAGUGCAGACACUGAGUGUUAAUUGUCAAGUUGGAGGGACCCAGAAGCACCUGGGAGGU